GUGCUCACUUUGACAGCACUUAUACUAAAAUUGGGACCAUACAGAGAAGAUUAGCAUGGCCUCUGCACAAGGAUAACAUGCAAAUUUGUGAAACAUUUUGUAUUUUU
ensembl:snRNA U6 U6 spliceosomal RNA